rnacentral:rRNA from 1 species
GACGAACGCUGGCGGCGUGCCUAAUACAUGCAAGUUGAGCGCUGAAGGUUGGUACUUGUACCAACUGGAUGAGCAGCGAACGGGUGAGUAACGCGUGGGGAAUCUGCCUUUGAGCGGGGGACAACAUUUGGAAACGAAUGCUAAUACCGCAUAAAAACUUUAAACACAAGUUUUAAGUUUGAAAGAUGCAAUUGCAUCACUCAAAGAUGAUCCCGCGUUGUAUUAGCUAGUUGGUGAGGUAAAGGCUCACCAAGGCGAUGAUACAUAGCCGACCUGAGAGGGUGAUCGGCCACAUUGGGACUGAGACACGGCCCAAACUCCUACGGGAGGCAGCAGGAGGGGAUCUUCGGGAAUGGACGAAAGGCUGAACGAGCAACGCCGCGGGAGGGAAGAAGGGUUUCGGAUCGUAAAACUCUGUUGGUAGAGAAGAACGUUGGUGAGAGUGGAAAGCUCAGCAAGUGACGGUAACUACCCAGAAAGGGACGGCUAACUACGUG